rnacentral:misc_RNA from 1 species
AAAGUCGUAACAAGGUUUCCGUAGGUGAACCUGCGGAAGGAUCAUUAAAAAAAAAAGGAUGUGCUCCGCGCAUAACUCCUCUCACACCCCCGGCGCGUAAAAGAGGCCGGGGGUUGAAUGAGUCCCUUAACCCUUUGUGAACUUUAUACCUUAUGCUUCGGCAGCGCGCUCCCUCCCUUUGCGGGGGGUGGAGUUGGUAAGGCUGCCGAUAGCCCUUUUAUAAACCAUUUUAUUUCAAAUCGUGAAGUCUGAUUACUGUUAAAUUUAAACAAGUUAAAACUUUCAGCAACGGAUCUCUUGGUUCUC